rnacentral:lncRNA from 1 species
AUCUAAUUUGAUAACAGAAGAAUCUUUUAGUAACAUUUUCAGGAUUGCAUAAAACUGCCAAUGCACAACCAAGCUGUAGGCUGAUGGAAAACAACAUCAGCCAAGAGAUUCACCUAGAAGCCAGCUAACGGAGCUGGGUUCCCUUUUGGUGUGAAGGCAUCAGAAGACCAUCAGCUCUAGAAAUAAAACUGAAAAAAAAAAAAAAAAGAAAAAAGAAAAAAAAAAACAACUCUGGCAAGCGCAUCGUGCAACCUUGGAUAUGGGGAAAGGAG